GGGCUAUGAUGAAUUUUAUUCCAAUCAUUCGCAGUUUCCACCAUAAAGACUUCUUAGUCUUAAUGAUGGCUGAAGAUCCUUCCUUGGAUGUCUGAGCCC
rnacentral:snoRNA from 1 species